rnacentral:misc_RNA from 1 species
AAGUCGUAACAAGGUUUCCGUAGGUGAACCUGCGGAAGGAUCAUUACCGAAGUAUCAUAAUGAGCUGUUGCUGUUAUCGUGCACGCUUGUUAUUCUUCAUUUCUCCAUAAUUUGUGCAUCACUUGUGUGGAUCCUCUGUCCGAGUUCAUCUCAGACGAUUGGGACUGCUUUGCAAAGUCACUAUUUGCGGGGCUUUCCUUGUAUCUACAUGUAUUUUCACAUAUACACCCAAUAUUAGAAGGAAAAAAAUUUUGAAUUGUUAUACAACUUUCAGCAACGGAUCUCUUGGCUCUC